rnacentral:rRNA from 1 species
AGUCUGCAACUCGACUACAUGAAGCUGGAAUCGCUAGUAAUCGCAGAUCAGAAUGCUGCGGUGAAUACGUUCCCGGGUCUUGUACACACCGCCCGUCACACCAUGGGAGUUGGAAAUGCCCGAAGUCAGUGACCCAACCGAAAGGGGGAGCUGCCGAAGGCAGGUCUGAUAACUGGGGUGAAGUCGUAACAAGGUAUC